UGGGUUGUUGAGCACUAGAACUAUAUCCAUGCAAAAAUAAUGCUGUGUAUGUAUAUGAAUGUACCACAGUGAAUUCCACCUUUCUGUAUAUCUAUAAAAGCAUCAAUUAAAAAAUAAUAACUAAAUAGAAGACCCCGUAAAAUCGAGACAGGGGGAGAGAGGAAACAGUGAGGAGCAAAAUGGAGCAGAUUCUAUUCCUUGCACCUUACGAUUGUGUCUAAAUGAACGUCACUAUUAUGUAUAACUAUAAUGUGCUAAUAAAAAAAAAUUGAAAAGAAAUGCUGGGGGAAGAAAAAGAAAAAGAAAUGCUGGAAAUCCCCCUCUCCUUCCCAGGAAAAAUUGUAGUAAAGGCUCCAUCUGAGAUGGAGGAAGUGCAGCCUAGACCCUAAAACCUGGACAUAGACCUCUUCUCUGUGUGCAGGGAAGAAAGUCUGAUUUGAUUCUGUCUCCCUGCCUUCCCUAGGAGAACUUAGGUGCAGAUAUCCACUCUGCCUCCGGGUGCCUCUGUUUUCUCACCUGAAAAAAUGGUGCUGAUUGGAAAAGCCAAUGUGUUACAUGUUUGUUUUGCUUUAUUCAUUAAGGCUCAUGGUCACUUGCACCUUAACUACCCUGUGGGCACCUUGAGGCAUGUGCAUGUGGUGGUG
rnacentral:lncRNA from 1 species